GGGAGGCAGCAGUGAGGAAUAUUGGGCAAUGGGCGAAAGCCUGACCCAGCCACGCCGCGUGAGUGAUGAAGGCCUUCGGGUCGUAAAGCUCUGUGGGGAGGGACGAACAAGCCUUGGGCUAAUCACCAGGGCCCUGACGGUACCUCCUUAGCAAGCACCGGCUAACCCUGUGCCAGCAGCCGCGGUAAUACAGGGGGUGCAAACGUUGCUCGGAAUCAUUGGGCGUAAAGCGCACGUAGGCGGUUUGUUAUGUCGGAUGUGAAAGCCCUUGGCUCAACUGAGGAAGUGCAUCCGAAACUGGCAAGCUAGAGUACUAAAGAGGGUCGCGGAAUUCCCGGUGUAGAGGUGAAAUUCGUAGAUAUCGGGAGGAACACCGGUGGCGAAGGCGGCGACCUGGGUAGAUACUGACGCUGAGGUGCGAAAGCGUGGGGAGCAAACAGGAUUAGAUACCCCGGUAGC
rnacentral:rRNA from 1 species